rnacentral:rRNA from 1 species
UACGUAGGUGGCUAGCGUUGUCCGGAAUUAUUGGGCGUAAAGAGCUCGUAGGCGGUUUGUCGCGUCUGCUGUGAAAACGCGAGGCUCAACCUCGCGCCUGCAGUGGGUACGGGCAGACUAGAGUGCGGUAGGGGAGAUUGGAAUUCCUGGUGUAGCGGUGGAAUGCGCAGAUAUCAGGAGGAACACCGAUGGCGAAGGCAGAUCUCUGGGCCGUUACUGACGCUGAGGAGCGAAAGCGUGGGGAGCGAACAGG